AAAGAGUUCGAGAGCAGCCGUGAACAUGGUGAUACACGGCUUAUUCGCCAAAGUUCACCUGCUUUCGUUUUGUGAUUACUGGCCAGAAAUAUGGGAAUUCUCAUACCCUAGGACAGUGAAGGAACUAAAGUGCCUGAAGAAAACAAAGCACAUUAAAAAUAAAGAACUGGCUCAGUAUAAUUUGUAAUUAAAGCAUCACUUCCUGCUGAUUAUUUUGUAACUUUAAGAAAUUGGCUAAACUGGGAAAGAAAGCAACUCUUUACAAUUACACUGCCAAGUUCUGAAGAAUGUUUUGCGCCGGUUAAGUUUCCAGUUGCUUUUAAAUUUGACAGCACACCAAAUAUCUGAGUAAUAAAAAGGAUAACUUUAUUAUUAUACUUGGUAUCAUAUUGUUUAACACUUUACUUUGCUUUUCAAGUGAGUAUAUUGGCAAGCUGUGGCAAAGAAUGAAAGUUUUUACUUCAUAAUUCCCUUAAGAGUAAUAAUUCCUUAGCAGACACUAAUUUAAUUUUGCUUCUAUGCUACACA